AUUCCUCUCUCUCUCUCUCUCUCUCUCUCUCACACACACACACACACACACAGAGAGAGAGAGAGAGAGAGAGAGAGAGAGAG